GACGAACGCUGGCGGCGUGCUUAACACAUGCAAGUCGUACGGUAAGGCCCUUUCGGGGGUACACGAGUGGCGAACGGGUGCGUAACACGUGCGUAACCUGCCCACAACUUUGGGAUAACGCUAGGAAACUGGAGCUAAUACUGGAUAUGUGCAACUGCUGCAUGGUGGGGGUUGGAAAGCUCCGGCGGUUGUGGAUGGACUCGCGGCCUAUCAGCUUGUUGGUGGGGUAGUGGCCUACCAAGGCGGCGACGGGUAGCCGGCCUGAGAGGGUGACCGGCCACAUUGGGACUGAGAGACGGCCCAGACUCCUACGGGUGGCAGCAGGGGGGAAUCUUGCACGAGGGGCGCCAGCCUGGUGCAGCAGCGCCGCGGGCGGGAUGACGGCCUUCGGGUUGUAAAACGCUUUCAGCAGGGACGAAGCUUUUUGUGACGGUACCUGCAGAAGAAGCACCGGCUAACUACGUG
rnacentral:rRNA from 1 species